rnacentral:rRNA from 1 species
CUUGGUCAUUUAGAAGGAGUAAAAGUCGGAAAGCCCCCCUGUGAACCUGCGGAGGGACUUACAGGAACCGGGCGGCCGCCGGGAUGUUCAUAAGGCUUUGGAGUCCCACUCUGUUGCCUCAGGGGCGACCCUGCCUUCGGGCGGGGGCUCCGGGUGGACACUUCAAACUCUUGCGUAACUUUGCAGUCUGAGUAAACUUAAUUAAUAAAUUAAAACUUGUAACAACGGAUCUCUUGGUUCUGGCAUCGAUGAAAAACGCGCCGAAAUGCUGUAAGUAAUGUGAAUUGCAGAAUUCAGUGAAUCAUCGAAUCUUUGAACGCACAUUGCGCCCCCUGGUAUUCCGGGGGGCAUGCCUGUUCAAACGUCAUUUCACCACUUAUGCCUCGCUUGGGAUUGGGCCUCGCGGACCUCCGCGUGCCUCAAAUCGACUGGGUGGCUCUUCUGUCCCCUAAGCGUUGUGGAAACUAUUCGCUAAAGGGUGUUCGGGAGGAUACGCCGGAAAACAACCCCAUUUCUAAGGUUGACCUCGGAUUGGGUAGGGAUACCCGCUGAACUUAAGCAUAUCCUUACUCGGAGGA